rnacentral:rRNA from 1 species
CGCGGCCUAUCAGCUUGUUGGUGGGGUAAUGGCCUACCAAGGCGACGACGGGUAGCCGGCCUGAGAGGGCGACCGGCCACACUGGGACUGAGACACGGCCCAGACUCCUACGGGAGGCAGCAGUGGGGAAUAUUGCACAAUGGGCGCAAGCCUGAUGCAGCGACGCCGCGUGAGGGAUGACGGCCUUCGGGUUGUAAACCUCUUUCACCAGGGACGAAGCGAAAGUGACGGUACCUGGAGAAGAAGCACCGGCCAACUACGUGCCAGCAGCCGCGGUAAUACGUAGGGUGCGAGCGUUGUCCGGAAUUACUGGGCGUAAAGAGUUCGUAGGCGGUUUGUCGCGUCGUUCGUGAAAACUUGGGGCUUAACUCCAAGCGUGCGGGCGAUACGGGCAGACUUGAGUACUACAGGGGAGACUGGAAUUCCUGGUGUAGCGGUGAAAUGCGCAGAUAUCAGGAGGAACACCGGUGGCGAAGGCGGGUCUCUGGGUAGUAACUGACGCUGAGGAACGAAAGCGUGGGUAGCGAACAGGAUUAGAUACCCUGGUAGUCCACGCCGUAAACGGUGGGUACUAGGUGUGGGUUCCUUUUCACGGGAUCCGUGCCGUAGCUAACGCAUUAAGUACCCCGCCUGGGGAGUACGG